rnacentral:rRNA from 1 species
GGCCAGACUCCUACGGGAGGCAGCAGUGGGGAAUAUUGCACAAUGGGGGAAACCCUGAUGCAGCGACGCCGCGUGAGUGAAGAAGUAUUUCGGUAUGUAAAGCUCUAUCAGCAGGGAAGAAAAUGACGGUACCUGACUAAGAAGCCCCGGCUAACUACGUGCCAGCAGCCGCGGUAAUACGUAGGGGGCAAGCGUUAUCCGGAUUUACUGGGUGUAAAGGGAGCGUAGACGGCAUGGCAAGUCAGAUGUGAAAGCCCGGGGCUCAACCCCGGGACUGCAUUUGAAACUGUCAGGCUGGAGUGCAGGAGAGGUAAGUGGAAUUCCUAGUGUAGCGGUGAAAUGCGUAGAUAUUAGGAGGAACACCAGUGGCGAAGGCGGCUUACUGGACUGUAACUGACGUUGAGGCUCGAAAGCGUGGGGAGCAAACAGGAUUAGAUACCCUGGUAC